rnacentral:rRNA from 1 species
GUGGGGAAUAUUGCGCAAUGGCCGCAAGGCUGACGCAGCGACGCCGCGUGUGGGAUGAAGGCCUUCGGGUUGUAAACCACUGUCGGGGGGGACGAAUACUCGGCUUCAAAUAGGAGACCGAGGGUGACGGUACCCCCAGAGGAAGCACCGGCUAACUCCGUGCCAGCAGCCGCGGUAAUACGGAGGGUGCAAGCGUUGUCCGGAAUCACUGGGCGUAAAGCGCGCGUAGGCGGUCUUGUAAGUCAGCUGUGAAAUCCCGGGGCUCAACUCCGGGCCUGCAGUUGAAACUGCAUGACUAGAGCUCGGUAGAGGCGAGUGGAAUUCCCGGUGUAGCGGUGGAAUGCGUAGAUAUCGGGAGGAACACCAGUGGCGAAGGCGGCUCGCUGGGCCGUUGCUGACGCUGAGGCGCGAAAGCGUGGGGAGCAAACAGG